GUGCCAGCGGCCGCGGUAAUACGUAGGUGGCAAGCGUUGUCCGGAUUUAUUGGGCGUAAAGCGCGCGCAAGUGGUUUCUUAAGUCUGAUGUGAAAGCCCACGGCUCAACCGUGGAGGGUCAUUGGAAACUGGGAGACUUGAGUGCAGAAGAGGAAAGUGGAAUUCCAAGUGUAGCGGUGAAAUGCGUAGAGAUUUGGAGGAACACCAGUGGCGAAGGCGACUUUCUGGUCUGUAACUGACACUGAGGCGCGAAAGCGUGGGGAGCAAACAGGAUUAGAUACCCUGUAGUCC
rnacentral:rRNA from 1 species